UACGUAGGUGGCAAGCGUUGUCCGGAUUUAUUGGGCGUAAAGAGCGCGCAGGCGGUUCGUUAAGUCCGAGGUGAAAUCUCCCGGCUCAACUGGGAUAGGUCUUCGGAUACUGGCGGACUUGAGGAGAGCAGAGGUGAGUGGAAUUCUCGGUGUAGUGGUGAAAUGCGUAGAGAUCCGGAAGAACACCGGUGGCGAAGGCGGCCUGCUGGGCAGUGGCUGACACUGAGGCGCGACAGCGUGGGGAGCAAACAGG
rnacentral:rRNA from 1 species